rnacentral:lncRNA from 1 species
AGGCAGGAGAAUGGCUUGAACCCAGGAGGCUGAACUUGCAGUGAGCCGAGAUCGCCCCACUGCACUCCAGCCUGGGCGACAGAGCGAGACUCUGUCUCAAAAAAAAAAAAAAAAAAAAAAAUCUGACGUGACAAGGCCUUUAGUUUUUAUAAGUGAGGUCUCCUCUCUUUGCCUAGAUAUUCCUCCGAUAACAUCAAUGAAAUUUUGCCCAGCACAGAGCAAGUACUAAAUAAUGAUUUGGUGAAUCUAAUGUUGAGCCUGCAGUAAUCCAACUAGAAACACCCACUCAGCCACUCGGGCAUACCUUUUAUUUGGGCAAGGGGCACUGCAGUUCUCUGGGCAGGGGUCAGCUAGGAGAGACCAAUAGAUGCCCCCACCCCAGGCUCCUAGACCCAUCUCCAGGACCAAACAGCCAAAGCCCCUCUUCUUUUCUUCAAAAUACACACAUUUCUAGAAAUUCUCUGCAAAAUACAUAGGCUACUAGAUAAGCACCCAGUUUCCCUCUGGGGUCAUUUGUUCCCGAAUGAGGCUUAUUAAAAGAGGAAACUAUUUUUAAGCUAAAUCAUCAAUCAAAAGUAUUCUUCAUUCUGGUAUAUGGCUGCUUUCCACAGAUGAUAAAAUCCCGUCAACUUGAUCCAAAGAAAAAAUGACCUACAUAACAAUGACAGCAUGAAUAACAAUUAAUCCUCCAUUGAAAUGUUCAAAAGCUAGAAUUGUGGUAAAGCCAAGAUUCCCAGGGAGUGUCAGGAACUGCUCUCUUGAUUCUAAGCUUGAAGCAGGUAAAGAAAAGGUUGUCUGGGACUAGGGCUUUCGGGGAUAGGACCCAAAUCCCAAGGCAAAGGGAGUCAGAAGCGAGUAAGAAAAGCAAACAGCUCCUACCUACCCAGUGCCAAAGAAACGCAGACACCAGUUCUGUGUCGGUUCUGCUUGAAAAGGUCUGAGAAGAAUAAUUUGGUAGAUGAAUCAUUGAAGAAUAAUUUUGCAGACAGCUCCAUCAAGCCAAAUGCCCAGCGUGAGGGCUGUGUGUAUAAUACUGUCAUAACCUUUGAAGAUAGAUUCUGUUCAUCAACACGGCUGUUUACAUAAUCACUUGGUCACCUCACCAAAUGGAUUAAUCUUUUUGGUCACAUUCCUUAUCAGUGCAUGGAGAGGCUAAUUGUUGGUGGCCCAAUGUGUCCCAUAAACGGAUCCCAUGAGAAUAAGCUUGCAGCAACAGAUGAUGAAGGGAACUGAGAUACAGACGAAAGCACAGCGGCCUGGGAGACAGGAGACGAGGCUCCGCCUGGACCUUGACGACGACCUUCCUUAAAACUAUGGACUCGUCAUCUGACCUCUCAAGGCCUCCAUUUCCCCAUCUGUAAAACCGAAAGCCCCUCAGCAAUCUGGGGCUAUCAUCUGAAAAGUGUGGGCAGCUGCGGGCGCUCAUACCUCAAGCCCCAAGAGUUUCUUCUUCUAACAGUAACAUACUUUGCACAUGACCCAGCAAUCCCACUCCUGGGUAUUUACCUGAUAAAUGAAAACCCAUGUUUGCCGGGCAUGGUGGCUCAUGCAUGUAAUCCCAGCACUUUGGGAGGCCAAGGUGGGCGGAUCACUUGAAGUCAAAAGUUCAAGACCAGCCUGGAAAACAUGGUGAAACCCCAUCUCUACUAAAACUACAAAAAUUGGUGGGGUGUGGAGGCACAUGCCUGUAGUUCCAGCUACUCGGGAAACUGAGGCAGAAGGAUUGCUUGAACCCAGGAAUUGGAGGUUACAAGUGAGCCAAGAUUGCGCCAUUGCACUCCAGUGCAGAGCAAAAGUCUGUCAAAAAAAAAAAAAAAAGAAGAAGAAAAAGAAAAAAGGAAUGAAAGGAAAGAAAAGGAAGGAAGGAAGGAAGGACCAUUAAGAAGGUACCUGUACCCAAAUUUGCAGAGCAGCUUUAUUUUUAUUUAUCACCGCCCCAGACUGGAGUCAACCCACACGUCCUCAGCGUGUGAAUGAAUAGACCAACCGCAGCACCUCGUACAGUGGAGUGCUACUAAGGAGCGAAUAUGGAUUCACACAGCAACACGGGUGCAUCCCAAAAGCAUGCUGCUACACGGAUGCAAGGCCUUCGGACUAUAUGAUCCCAUUUAGGAGACAAUUGGGAAAAGGGAAAAUCCAGGGGUGAAGAAUAGAUCUGUGGUGGCAGGGGUGGGAAAAGCGGGGAGGAUUUGCCUACUGAGGGGCAGCACAAGAGAAUUUUGCGGGGCGAUGGAUCUGUCUGUAUCUUGACCAUAGUGAUGAUACAUGACUGUGCAUUUGUCAGAACUCACAGGACUGAGGGGAAAGAGAAGUGUCCCCAAAGUUAACCCACGUUCCCUGGGACCCACCUCCCUCCCCACUGCCACUUCCCACCAGCCUCACGCACGGGCCAGGCCCUUCCCUUUGCAGCUCACAGCCCAGCAGAUGUUAGGUCAGAAUGCGUCCCCUCACUUGACUAAAGGUUUACAGCCAGCAGGGUGGAAAUGAACCAGAUAUUAACACCCCCUCCUCCAUGCCCUGCCCACCUUCUGGCCAGUACCAGUGAAGCAGAAGGAGAUUUCUCAUCCCCCAGGGUUCCCAGAGGGUUCCCAGAGGAAAUACAGGAUACCCAAUACAUUUGAAUUUCAGAUAAAAAAUAAAUAACGUUCUGAUACAAGUCUGUCCUGUGCAAUAUUUGUAUGUGUUUUUAUUUGCUAAAUCUGGCAACUCUGUCCCCACCCACAGGGGCAUGCCUAUGGUCACCACACCAGAAGGUAAUCCAUUACAUCUCAGUAACUGUAGAUCCAUACACCCAGAUAAUUUGCUUCUUGGCUCAUCUCCUGGGAAUUAGAGAACUGGGUCUGUUAGCCAAACUCUCAAGACACCUGCCCCAAAACAACCUGGGGUGCUGAGGAAGGGGCACAAAAGGCAAACAGCAUGCCCUCUCCAACUCCCACCCCUACCACAAUCUGAGCUUAGAAGCCAGAUGUGGGUGGCGUGGGAGGGAAAGGCACACCAGCCUGAG